rnacentral:lncRNA from 1 species
AAAAUGUCUCUAAAUUUGAAUUUAAUGAAUGUAGGAAACGGCAAGGAUACUAAGAGAGCAGACACAUCGAAUUUUGGAAGAACAGAUUGAGCAGAGUCUAAAUAGACUCAUGCGUAUACUCGAAGGCUUGGCCACGGUGGUAACUCAACACGUAGUCCAUAGCUAAAGUGCUACAAAUGGUAAUAACGCUAGUACCAGUAACACCCAACCGAUGGAGGAAAAUAAUGAAAAACUCAUUGAAAGAUUUAAGAGAAUGAACCCACAAUC